rnacentral:rRNA from 1 species
AUGAACGCUGGCGGCGUGCUUAACACAUGCAAGUCGAGCGAAGCGGCUGAAUUGAUUCUUCGGAUGAUUUUCAGUUGACUGAGCGGCGGACGGGUGAGUAACGCGUGGGUGACCUGCCCCAUACCGGGGGAUAACAGCUGGAAACGGCUGCUAAUACCGCAUAAGCGCACAGAGCUGCAUGGCUCGGUGUGAAAAACUCCGGUGGUAUGGGAUGGGCCCGCGUCUGAUUAGGCAGUUGGCGGGGUAACGGCCCACCAAACCGACGAUCAGUAGCCGGCCUGAGAGGGCGACCGGCCACAUUGGGACUGAGACACGGCCCAAACUCCUACGGGAGGCAGCAGUGGGGAAUAUUGCACAAUGGGGGAAACCCUGAUGCAGCGACGCCGCGUGAGCGAAGAAGUAUUUCGGUAUGUAAAGCUCUAUCAGCAGGGAAGAUAAUGACGGUACCUGACUAAGAAGCCCCGGCUAACUACGUGCCAGCAGCCGCGGUAAUACGUAGGGGGCAAGCGUUAUCCGGAUUUACUGGGUGUAGAGGGAGCGUAGACGGCAAGGCAAGUCUGAUGUGAAAACCCAGGGCUUAACCCUGGGACUGCAUUGGAAACUGUCUGGCUCGAGUGCCGGAGAGGUAAGCGGAAUUCCUAGUGUAGCGGUGAAAUGCGUAGAUAUUAGGAGGAACACCGGUGGCGAAGGCGGCUUUCUGGACUGUAACUGACGCUGAGGCACGAAAGCGUGGGGAGCAAACAGGAUUAGAUACCCUGGUAGUCCACGCCGUAAACGAUGAAUGCUAGGUGUUGGGGAGCAAAGCUCUUCGGUGCCGCCGCAAACGCAUUAAGCAUUCCACCUGGGGAGUACGUUCGCAAGAAUGAAACUCAAAGGAAUUGACGGGGGCCCGCACAAGCAGUGGAGUAUGUGGUUUAAUUCGACGCAACGCGAAGAACCUUACCAGGGCUUGACAUAUAGAGGAAUAACUAAGAGAUUAGUUAGCUCUUCGGAGUCUCUAUACAGGUGGUGCAUGGUUGUCGUCAGCUCGUGUCGUGAGAUGUUGGGUUAAGUCCCGCAACGAGCGCAACCCUUAUCCUCAGUAGCCAGCAGGUCAAGCUGGGCACUCUGUGGAGACUGCCAGGGAUAACCUGGAGGAAGGUGGGGAUGACGUCAAAUCAUCAUGCCCCUUAUGAUCUGGGCUACACACGUGCUACAAUGGCGUAAACAAAGGGAAGCAAAGCCGCGAGGUGGAGCAAAUCCCAAAAAUAACGUCUCAGUUCGGACUGCAGUCUGCAACUCGACUGCACGAAGCUGGAAUCGCUAGUAAUCGCGAAUCAGAAUGUCGCGGUGAAUACGUUCCCGGGUCUUGUACACACCGCCCGUCACACCAUGGGAGUUGGUAACGCCCGAAGUCAGUGACCCAACCUUUUAGGAGGGAGCUGCCGAAGGCGGGACUGAUAACUGGGGUG